UUUUAAUGGAGAGUUUGAUCCUGGCUCAGGACGAACGCUGGCGGCGUGCUUAACACAUGCAAGUCGAACGAUGAAGCUGUGCUUGCACAGUGGAUUAGUGGCGAACGGGUGAGUAACACGUGAGUAACCUGCCCUCCACUUUGGGAUAACUCCGAGAAAUCGGGGCUAAUACUGGAUAUGACCUUGGCCCGCAUGGGUUGUGGUGGAAAGUUUUUCGGUGGGGGAUGGGCUCGCGGCCUAUCAGUUUGUUGGUGAGGUAGUGGCUCACCAAGGCGAUGACGGGUAGCCGGCCUGAGAGGGCGACCGGCCACACUGGGACUGAGACACGGCCCAGACUCCUACGGGAGGCAGCAGUGGGGAAUAUUGCACAAUGGGCGAAAGCCUGAUGCAGCGACGCCGCGUGGGGGAUGACGGCCUUCGGGUUGUAAACCUCUUUCAGCAAGGAAGAAGCGAAAGUGACGGUACUUGCAGAAGAAGCGCCGGCUAACUACGUGCCAGCAGCCGCGGUAAUACGUAGGGCGCAAGCGUUGUCCGGAAUUAUUGGGCGUAAAGGGCUUGUAGGUGGCUUGUCGCGUCUGCCGUGAAAACUCGAGGCUUAACCUUGGGCGUGCGGUGGGUACGGGCAGGCUAGAGUGCGGUAGGGGAGACUGGAAUUCCUGGUGUAGCGGUGAAAUGCGCAGAUAUCAGGAGGAACACCGAUGGCGAAGGCAGGUCUCUGGGCCGUUACUGACACUGAGAAGCGAAAGCAUGGGGAGCGAACAGGAUUAGAUACCCUGGUAGUCCAUGCCGUAAACGUUGGGCACUAGGUGUGGGGAGCAUUCCACGUUUUCCGCGCCGUAGCUAACGCAUUAAGUGCCCCGCCUGGGGAGUACGGCCGCAAGGCUAAAACUCAAAGGAAUUGACGGGGGCCCGCACAAGCGGCGGAGCAUGCGGAUUAAUUCGAUGCAACGCGAAGAACCUUACCAAGGCUUGACAUGCACUGGAUCGCUGCAGAGAUGUGGUUUUCUUUGGACUGGUGCACAGGUGGUGCAUGGUUGUCGU
rnacentral:rRNA from 1 species